rnacentral:rRNA from 1 species
AACAGGAUUAGAUACCCUGGUAGUCCAUGCCGUAAACGGUGGGCGCUAGGUGUGAGGGUCUUUUCACGACUUUCGUGCCGUAGCUAACGCAUUAAGCGCCCCGCCUGGGGAGUACGGCCGCAAGGCUAAAACUCAAAGGAAUUGACGGGGGCCCGCACAAGCGGCGGAGCAUGUGGAUUAAUUCGAUGCAACGCGAAGAACCUUACCUGGGCUUGACAUACACCGGAUCGCUGCAGAGAUGUAGUUUCCCUUUGUGGCUGGUGUACAGGUGGUGCAUGGUUGUCGUCAGCUCGUGUCGUGAGAUGUUGGGUUAAGUCCCGCAACGAGCGCAACCCUUGUCUUAUGUUGCCAGCAUUUGGUUGGGGACUCAUGAGAGACUGCCGGGGUCAACUCGGAGGAAGGUGGGGAUGACGUCAAAUCAUCAUGCCCCUUAUGUCCAGGGCUUCACACAUGCUACAAUGGUCGGUACAACGCGCAGCGACACUGUGAGGUGGAGCGAAUCGCUGAAAGCCGGCCUUAGUUCGGAUUGGGGUCUGCAACUCGACCCCAUGAAGUCGGAGUCGCUAGUAAUCGCAGAUCAGCAAUGCUGCGGUGAAUACGUUCCCGGGCCUUGUACACACCGCCCGUCACGUCAUGAAAGUUGGUAACACCCGAAGCCGGUGGCCCAAACUUGUUAGGGAGCCGUCGAAGGUGGGAUCGGCGAUUGGGACGAAGUCGUAACAAGGUAACC